UUUUUUAACUCUUUCCGCAACAUAAACUAGAGGCUCUAAAGAGCCUGUGUCGCUCACCUUGGUCUAUGUGAAUAUUAAACAAAGGAAGCAGAUUGAAAAUUGACUACAAAGGUCAAUAACUCCUACAGGGGUCAAUUGACCAUUUCGUUCAUGUUGACUUAUUUGUAGAUCUUACUUUGCUGAACAUUAUUGCUGUUUACAGUUUACCUAUAUCUAUAAUAAUAUUCAAUAUAAUAACCAAAAACAGCAAAAUUUCCUUAAAAUUACCAAUUCAGGGGCUGCAACCCAAAAACAGGUUGUCCAAUUCAUCUGAAAAUUUCACGGCAGAUAGAUCUUGACCUGAUUAACAAUUUUACUUCAUGUCAGAUUUUCUCUAAAUUAUUUGGUUUUUGAGUUAUAAGCCAAAAACUGCAUUUUACCCCUAUGUUCUAUUUUUAGCCGUGGCGGCCAUCUUGGUUUGAUGGCCAGGUCACCGGACACAAUUUUUUAAACUAGAUACCCCAAUGAUGAUUGUGGCCAAGUUUCAAAUAAUUUGGCCCAGCAGUUUCAGGGGAGAAGAUUUUUCUAAAAGAUUACUAAGAUUUACGAAAAAUGGUUAAAAAUUGACUAUAAAGGGCAAUAACUCCUAAAGUGGUCAACUGAUCAUUUUGGUCAUGUUGACUUUUUUGUAGAUCUUACUUUGCUGAACAUUAUUGCUUUUUACAGUUUAUCUCUAUCUAAAAUAAUAUUCAAGAUAAUAACCAAAAACAACAAAAUUUCCUUAAAAUUACCAAUUCAGGGCAGCAACCUAACAACGGAAUAUCAAUUCAUCUGAAAAAUUUCAGGGCAGAUAGAUCUUAACCUGAUUAACAAUAUUACCCAUGUCAGAUUUGCCCUAAAUGCUUUGGUUUUUGAGUUAUAAGCCAAAAACUGCAUUUUACCCCUAUGUUCUAUUUAUAGCCAUGGCGGCCAUCUUGGUUAGUUGGCGGGGUCACCAGACACAAUUUUUAAACUAGAUACCCCAAUGAUGAUUGUGGCCAAGUUUGGUUAAAUUUGGCCUAGUAGUUUCAGAGGAGAAGAUUUUUGUAAAAGUUAACGCCGGACGCAGGACGACGACGACGGACGACGACGCCGGACGCCGGACGCCAAGUGAUGAGAAAAGCUCACUUGGCCCUUUGGGCCAGGUGAGCUAAAAAGGGAC
rnacentral:lncRNA from 1 species